UUAAGUCCCGCAACGAGCGCAACCCUUAUCCUUUGUUGCCAGCGGUCCGGCCGGGAACUCAAAGGAGACUGCCAGUGAUAAACUGGAGGAAGGUGGGGAUGACGUCAAGUCAUCAUGGCCCUUACGAGUAGGGCUACACACGUGCUACAAUGGCGCAUACAAAGAGAAGCGAACUCGCGAGAGCAAGCGGACCUCAUAAAGUGCGUCGUAGUCCGGAUUGGAGUCUGCAACUCGACUCCAUGAAGUCGGAAUCGCUAGUAAUCGUAGAUCAGAAUGCUACGGUGAAUACGUUCCCGGGCCUU
rnacentral:rRNA from 1 species